rnacentral:rRNA from 1 species
UACAGAGGUGGCAAGCGUUGUUCGGAAUUACUGGGCGUAAAGGGCGCGUAGGCGGCCAUCUAAGUCAGACGUGAAAUCCCCAGGCUUAACCUGGGAACUGCAUCUGAUACUGGAUGGCUUGAAUCCGGGAGAGGGAUGCAGAAUUCCAGGUGUAGCGGUGAAAUGCGUAGAUAUCUGGAGGAAUACCGGUGGCGAAGGCGGCGUUCUGGACCAUUACUGACACUGAAGCGCGAAAGCUAGGGGAGCAAACGGG